rnacentral:rRNA from 1 species
GUCGAGCGGUAACAGGCGUAGCAAUACGUGCUGACGAGCGGCGAACGGGUGAGUAACGCUUCGGAAUCUGCCCAAUGGUGGGGAAUAACCAGCCGAAAGGUUGGCUAAUACCGCAUGAGCCCUUCGGGGGAAAGCGGGGGAUCGCAAGACCUCGCGCCGAUGGAUGAGCCGAAGCCGGAUUAGCUAGUUGGUAGGGUAACGGCCUACCAAGGCGACGAUCCGUAGCUGGUCUGAGAGGACGACCAGCCACACUGGGACUGAGACACGGCCCAGACUCCUACGGGAGGCAGCAGUGGGGAAUAUUGGACAAUGGGGGAAACCCUGAUCCAGCGACGCCGCGUGUGUGAAGAAGGCCUGCGGGUUGUAAAGCACUUUUAGUGGGGAUGAAAAGCUCAGGGCUAACACCUCUGGGUCUUGACCUAACCCACAGAAAAAGCACCGGCUAACUCUGUGCCAGCAGCCGCGGUAAUACAGAGGGUGCAAGCGUUAAUCGGAAUUACUGGGCGUAAAGCGUACGUAGACGGUUGGAUAAGUCGGAUGUGAAAGCCCCGGGCUCAACCUGGGAAUGGCAUUCGAGACUGUUCAGCUAGGGUGCGGAAGAGGGAAGCGGAAUUUCCGGUGUAGCGGUGAAAUGCGUAGAUAUCGGAAGGAACACCAGUGGCGAAAGCGGCUUCCUGGUCCAGCACCGACGUUCAGGUACGA